ACCAAGGAGUCUGACAUGCGUGCGAGUCGACGGGUUCAGAAACCUGAGAUGCGCAAGGAAGCUGACAAGCGGGAGGCCCUCACGGGCCGCAUCGCUGGCCGACCCUGAUCUUCUGUGAAGGGUUCGAGUUGGAGCACGCCUGUCGGGACCCAAAAGAUGGUGAACUAUGCCUGAGCAGGGCGAAGCCAGAGGAAACUCUAGUGGAGGCUCAAAGCGAUACUGACGUGCAAAUCGUUAGUCUGUCUUGGAUAUAGGGGCGAAAGACUAAUCAAACCAUCUAGUAGCUGGUUCCCUCCGAAGUUUCCCUCAGGAUAGCUGGAGCCCAAACAAGUUCGAUCGGGUAAAGCCAAUGAUUAGAGGCAUCUGGGGCGCAACGCCCUCGACCUAUUCUCAAACUUUAAAUAGGUAGGACGGCACGGCUGCUCCGGUGAGCUGUGCCACGGAAUCGGGGUCUCCAAGUAGGCCAUUUUUGGUAAGCAGAACUGGCGAUGCAGGAUGAACUGGAAGCCGGGUUAUGAUGCCAAACUACGCGCUAGCCUAGAACCCACAAAGGGUGUUGGUCGAUUAAGACAGCAGGACGGUGGUCAUGGAAGUCGAAAUCCGCUAAGGAGUGUGUAACAACUCACCUGCCGAAUCAACUUGCCCCGAAAAUGGAUGGCGUUGAAGCGCGUGACCCACACCCGGCCAUCUGGGCGAGCGACAUGCCCCGAUGAGUAGGAGGGUGCGGCGGCCGCCGCAAAAUGUGGGGCGCGAGCCCGGGCGGAGCGACCGUCAGUGCAGAUCUUGGUGGUGGUAGCAAAUAUUCAAAUGAGAACUUUGAAGGCCGAAGAGGAGAAAGGUUCCAUUUGAACGUCACUUGCACAUGGGUAAGCCGAUCCUAAGGGAUGGGGGAAACCCGGUGGAUAGCGCGAUCACGCGCGUCACCCGAAAGGGAAUUAGGUUAAGAUUUCCGGAGCCGGGACGUGGAGGCAGACGGCGACGUUAGGAAGUCCGGAGACACCGGCGGGGGCCUUGGGAAGAGUUAUCUUUUCUGCUUAACGGCCCACCAACCCUGGAAUCGGUUCAGCCGGAGGUAGGGUCCAGCGGCCGGAAGAGCACCGCACAUCGCGCGGUGUCUGGUGUGCCCACGGCGGCCCUUGAAAAUCUGGAGGACCGAAUACCGUCCACGCCCUGUCGUACUCAUAACCGCAUCAGGUCUCCAAGGUGAACAACCUCUGGCC
rnacentral:ncRNA from 1 species